rnacentral:rRNA from 1 species
UACGAAGGGGGCUAGCGUUGUUCGGAAUUACUGGGCGUAAAGCGCGCGUAGGCGGCUUUUUAAGUCAGGGGUGAAAUCCCAGGGCUCAACCCUGGAACUGCCUUUGAUACUGAGGGUCUGGAGUUCGGGAGAGGUGAGUGGAAUUCCGAGUGUAGAGGUGAAAUUCGUAGAUAUGUAUUAGAACACCGAUUGCGAAGGCAGUUCACUAGGCGUGUAUUGACACUGAGGCGCGAAAGCGUGGGGAUCAAACAGG